rnacentral:rRNA from 1 species
CAAGGAAUAUUGUGCAAUGGGCGAAAGCCUGACACAGCGACGCCGCGUGGGGGAUGAAGGCCUUCGGGUUGUAAACCCCUUUUCUCAGGGAGGAAUAAUGACAGUACCUGAGGAAUAAGCCACGGCUAACUACGUGCCAGCAGCCGCGGUAAGACGUAGGUGGCGAGCGUUACCCGGAUUUAUUGGGCGUAAAGAGGGUGCAGGCGGCUUUUCAAGUCGGAUGUGAAAUCUCCCGGCUCAACUGGGAGGGGUCAUUCGAUACUGUUGAGCUAGAGUGCAACAGGGGGAGGUAGAAUUCCCGGUGUAGUGGUGAAAUGCGUAGAUAUCGGGAGGAAUACCAGUGGCGAAGGCGGCCUCCUGGGUUGUUACUGACGCUUAAGCCCGAAGGCGUGGGGAGCAAACAGGAUUAGAUACCCUGGUAGUCCACGCGGUAAACUAUGGACACUGGGUAUGGGGAGUAUCGACCCUCUCCGUGCCGAAGCUAACGCGUUAAGUGUCCCGUCUGGGGAGUACGGCCGCAAGGCUA